GAUGAACGCUAGCGGGAGGCCUAAUACAUGCAAGUCGAGCGGUAGAGUGACUUCGGUUGCUUGAGAGCGGCGAACGGGUGAGUAACGCGUACACAAUCUACCUUUAAGAGGGGAAUAGCCCUGGGAAACUGGGAUUAAUGCCCCAUGGCAUCACGAAGUGGCAUCGCUUUGUGAUUAAAGCUGAGGUGCUUAGAGAUGAGUGUGCGUCUGAUUAGCUAGUUGGUGCGGUAACGGCGCACCAAGGCGACGAUCAGUAGGGGGCGUGAGAGCGUGGACCCCCACACGGGUACUGAGACACGGACCCGACUCCUACGGGAGGCAGCAGUAAGGAAUAUUGGUCAAUGGAGGAAACUCUGAACCAGCCAUCCCGCGUGCAGGAAGAAUGCCCUAUGGGUUGUAAACUGCUUUUAUCUGGGAAGAAAAGUCGGGAUUUAUCCUGAUCUGACGGUACCAGAGGAAUAAGCACCGGCUAACUCCGUGCCAGCAGCCGACGG
rnacentral:rRNA from 1 species